GAUGAACGCUGGCGGCGUGCCUAAUACAUGCAAGUCGAGCGAACGGACGAGAAGCUUGCUUCUCUGAUGUUAGCGGCGGACGGGUGAGUAACACGUGGAUAACCUACCUAUAAGACUGGGGUAACUUCGGGAAACCGGAGCUAAUACCGGAUGAUAUUUUGAACCGCAUGGUUCAAAAGUGAAAGACGGUCUUGCUGUCACUUAUAGAUGGAUCCGCGCUGCAUUAACUAGUUGGUAAGGUAACGGCUUACCAAGGCAACGAUGCAUAGCCGACCUGAGAGGGUGAUCGGCCACACUGGAACUGAGACACGGUCCAGACUCCUACGGGAGGCAGCAGUAGGGAAUCUUCCGCAAUGGGCGAAAGCCUGACGGAGCAACGCCGCGUGAGUGAUGAAGGUCUUCGGAUCGUAAAACUCUGUUAUUAGGGAAGAACAUAUGUGUAAGUAACUGUGCACAUCUUGACGGUACCUAAUCAGAAAGCCACGGCUAACUACGUG
rnacentral:rRNA from 1 species